GAAAAUGCUUUGAAGAGAUGAAGUACUUAUGGUAUCUCGCCCAGAGAGCUGAUGGUUGGUGUAAAUCAGUGGAGAUUAAGUUUGGAAAAUGGUCUUGGAGUGUUAGUGUUGUGAGCUCAAAAAGUUAGCACCGCUCGGUUGCGCCCGUUAUUGCGCUAGAUAUCGCCUAAAUCUUAGGCCGUAUCGAAUAGAGGAGUAUUGAUUUAAUACUUGAAAACGAGUGGUACCACGUGCAAACGUCUCGUAG
rnacentral:ncRNA from 1 species